rnacentral:miRNA from 14 species
UAACAGUUUACAGUUCAUGGUCG